rnacentral:rRNA from 1 species
UACGUAGGGGGCUAGCGUUAUCCGGAAUUACUGGGCGUAAAGGGUGCGUAGGUGGUUUCUUAAGUCAGAGGUGAAAGGCUACGGCUCAACCGUAGUAAGCCUUUGAAACUGGGAAACUUGAGUGCAGGAGAGGAGAGUGGAAUUCCUAGUGUAGCGGUGAAAUGCGUAGAUAUUAGGAGGAACACCGGUUGCGAAGGCGGCUCUCUGGACUGUAACUGACACUGAGGCACGAAAGCGUGGGGAGCAAACAGG